rnacentral:lncRNA from 1 species
CAAAAAUUCAACUCAAAAUGGAUUAAAAACUUAAAUGGAAGACCUGAAACUGUAAAACUCUUAGAAGAAAACAUAGAGGAAAAUCUUUAUGACAUUAGUCUUGACAAUGAUUUCUUGGAUAUGACAUUAAAAGCACAAGCAACAGGGGCCAGCCUGGUGGUAUAGCAGAUAUAUUUCAUCUUCAGAGAGAUUCUUGGAAAAGAUUCUGACACUUGCCCUAUAACACAGGACACAAAUGGAAACAUUAGUUAUAUUACCAAUGCUUUGACUGGAAUGUCAUAUUUAAGAGAAACACACAUGGACUCAGAUAUGACCAAACAGCUUUUAGGAACAAAAGUUCACUUUUUGAAAUAAAAUCACUAGGAAAUAUUGACCUGUUACCAUGCUUGCAGUGUCACUAGCAAUCAUACCAGAAAUGCUUCUUAUUAAAUAACAGGUUGCAUGCUUAUACAAUAUAACCCUAACUUUGGAAUCCCACCUGCAUCAUCACCUUACUAAGAGACUGGUUCAAUGAGAUGGAACAACCUACACCCCUUAUCAGCAGGAAUAAGAUAGAGC